GGUGGCGCUAACAUCUACGAUACAAUCACUCCCUCAGACAAUAAUGACAAUGAUGUUGCUGCUGCUACUGCUGGACCAAGUGAUGUGAUGUACGCCCAGAUUCAACUCAAAAAGUUGGACAAGAAAAAGAAAAAAAAGCCAGCUGAUCCAAAAGAAAGUCCAGUCUAUUCUGAGGUCAAGACAGGGAAGGCCACAG